AAUACCUGAUCGCUGAGUUCUUUCUUUAUUUCAGAAAGAAACGGGGGAACCAAUGAAACGCGUCCAAAAGGGCGGGUUUCCGGGGUGAAUCGCUUGAUUUGGCCAACUUGGCCAAACUGCGUAGGGCUGCUUUCGUGCCCGAAUCCGUCAGCUAACUCCGUAAGCGUCCGAAAGAGGGAAU
rnacentral:sRNA from 2 species